rnacentral:rRNA from 1 species
GACGACGCUGGCGGCAGGCCUAACACAUGCAAGUCGAGCGUGCGGCGCACGGGUGUGUAUUGUAUGUUGAUCUGCCCGAUAGAGGGGGAUAACUACUGGAAACCGUGGCUAAUACCCCAUACUGUCGUAUGUACCCCUUUGGGAUUAGCUAGUAGGUAAGGUAAUGGCUUACCUAGGCGACGAUCCCUCGCUGGUCUGAGAGGAUGAUCAGCCACACUGGGACUGAGCCACGGCCCAGACUCCUACGGGAGGCAGCAGUGGGGAAUAUUGCACAAUGGGCGCAAGGCUGAUGCAGCCAUGCCGCGGGUAUGAAGAAGGCCCUAGGGUUGUAAAGUACUUUCAGUCGGGAGGCGGUACCGAAAGAAGAAGCACCGGCUAACUACGUGCCAGCAGCCGCGGUAAUAG